UGUCAUUGAUUAUGAAAGUUUUGAAAUCGCAUCGAAAAUUCAUAUACAAUCCUCAUGCAUAUACCACACAAUCCUGCACACAUCUUCGAGUGAGUCUUUACAAUUACAUCAUUUUCACAUGUUUGCAAUUCAUAAUUAUAACACUUAUCGUAAAAUAAAAAUUAUAAAAUCUUAAUUACCAAUAACAUAGACCGAUUCGAAAAAUACAGUAGUUGUCAUUCUUUUUUCUUCCAAAAUUAAUUUCAAUCAAGGUAAUCACUUCCGCCUUACAGAAUAUUUCAAGACUGACAGUUUUGCAAAGUAUAAAUGUAUCCCUUUUUUCAGAAAUUAAAUGUUAAAAAUAAAAGAAAAUUUAGCAAAGAAGACUGACUAGCCUCGUUUUAAUACUUUUUUUUGCAC